rnacentral:rRNA from 1 species
GACGAACGCUGGCGGCGUGCUUAACACAUGCAAGUCGAACGGAAAGGCCCUGCUUUUGUGGGGUGCUCGAGUGGCGAACGGGUGAGUAACGCGUGAGUAACCUGCCAUUGACUUUGGGAUAACUUCAGGAAACUGGGGCUAAUACCGGAUAGGAGCUCCUGCUGCAUGGUGGGGGUUGGAAAGUUUCGGCGGUUGGGGAUGGACUCGCGGCUUAUCAGCUUGUUGGUGGGGUAGUGGCUUACCAAGGCUUUGACGGGUAGCCGGCCUGAGAGGGUGACCGGCCACAUUGGGACUGAGAUACGGCCCAGACUCCUACGGGAGGCAGCAGUGGGGAAUAUAGCACAAUGGGCGGAAGCCUGAUGCAGCAACGCCGCGUGCGGGAUGACGGCCUUCGGGUUGUAAACCGCUUUCGCCUGUGACGAAGCGUGAGUGACGGUAAUGGGUAAAGAAGCACCGGCUAACUACGUG